rnacentral:rRNA from 1 species
CAGUCGAACGAAGCACCUGAGAAUGAUUCUUCGGAUGAAGUCUCUUGUGACUGACUGGCGGACGGGUGAGUAACGCGUGGGUAACCUGCCUCACACAGGGGGAUAACAGUUGGAAACGACCGCUAAUACCGCAUAACCCGCUGGUGCCGCAUGGCACUGACGGAAAAGAUUUAUCGGUGUGAGAUGGACCCGCGUCUGAUUAGCCAGUUGGCAGGGUAACGGCCUACCAAAGCGACGAUCAGUAGCCGGCCUGAGAGGGUGAACGGCCACAUUGGGACUGAGACACGGCCCAGACUCCUGCGGGAGGCAGCAGUGGGGAAUAUUGCACAAUGGGGGGAACCCUGAUGCAGCAAUGCCGCGUGGGUGAAGAAGCACUCCGGUGCGUAAAGCCCUGUCAGCAGGGAAGAAAAUGACAGUACCUGGACAAGAAGCCCCGGCUAACUACGUGCCAGCAGCCGCGGUAAUACGUAGGGGGCAAGCGUUAUCCGGAUUUACUGGGUGUAAAGGGAGCGCAGGCGGCGUGGCAAGUCAGAUGUGAAAACCCGGGGCCCAACCCCGGGAGUGCAUUUGAAACUGCCAAGCUGGAGUGCCGGAGAGGUAAGCGGAAUUCCUAGUGUAGCGGUGAAAUGCGUAGAUAUUAGGAGGAACACCAGUGGCGGAGGCGGCUUACUGGACGGUAACUGACGCUGAGGCUCGAAAGCGUGGGGAGCAAACAGGAUUAGAUACCCUGGUAGUCCACGCCG